GCCUGGAUGGCUCAGUUGGUUAAGUGUCUGACUUCUGCUCAGGUCGUGAUCUCAGGGUCCUGGGAUUGAGCCCCAAUUCAAGCU
rnacentral:tRNA from 1 species